AGAACGAACGCUGGCGGCAGGCUUAACACAUGCAAGUCGAGCGGGCGUAGCAAUACGUCAGCGGCAGACGGGUGAGUAACGCGUGGGAACGUACCUUUUGGUUCGGAACAACACAGGGAAACUUGUGCUAAUACCGGAUAAGCCCUUACGGGGAAAGAUUUAUCGCCGAAAGAUCGGCCCGCGUCUGAUUAGCUAGUUGGUGAGGUAACGGCUCACCAAGGCGACGAUCAGUAGCUGGUCUGAGAGGAUGAUCAGCCACAUUGGGACUGAGACACGGCCCAAACUCCUACGGGAGGCAGCAGUGGGGAAUAUUGGACAAUGGGCGCAAGCCUGAUCCAGCCAUGCCGCGUGAGUGAUGAAGGCCCUAGGGUUGUAAAGCUCUUUGUGCGGGAAGAUAAUGACGGUACCGCAAGAAUAAGCCCCGGCUAACUUCGUGCCAGCAGCCGC
rnacentral:rRNA from 1 species